GCCCUCUUGGCCAAGUGGUAAGGCGUCGCACUCGUAUGGCGUAAGCCAGAAAUGACAUGCGAAGAUCACUGGUUCGAUUCCAGUACGGGGCA